UGUUGGGUGGCCCCAGCUGAAGCUAUGUUAAUGCUGGGGGUUUGUUGCUCCUGGGGUAGGCCUCAGGCUUCCAAGCUCUUCCUCCAUGAGGAGUUAGGAGGCACGAGUUGCUGCUGUUUGGCUUUUUCCUGGUCAUUAUAGGGCUGAAGUGGUGCUUUUUGUAUCUUCUGCAUCAGCUUCUACCCUUGGAUUGGGUUUCCUGUGGCUCUGGUAGAGUGCAGAGGGUUUUGCUCUCUGCUGGGCCAGAUAAUUGCUUUGGGAAGGUCCUUUAUAGACCAGAAUUAUGUUGGCUCUGCAGGCUUCUGCAGUUAAAGGCCUGACUCGCAGUGUGGAAUUGGAGCCUGUUGGGCAAGGAAUGGGAGACAGAGCCUUUCCUUCCCUAAUUCCUCUAAGCUGUAAGUUUUUGCUGUGUCUGUGGUUCUGGCCAGGGUUCGUGUUUGGGGUGGGAGCUGUGAAGUUUUGCUCCCUUUCCAGGUGGUGUUGCUGUAUCUGUGCUUAGGGCAGGGAGCAUUGGGGUGUUUUUGUUAAUUCAGGCUCCUCCUGAGGGAUGGAAGGUACAGACUGAAAAGCUUGCAGGGGAGGGUGAUUCAGCACUGUGAUGUGGUCCCACAGUGGGGUGAAUGAUAGGGUAAAGCACCACUCUGAGGAACAGCAUGUCAGGUCAUAGUCUGGUUUAAGCCAGUGUUUCUGUGCUGUUGUCUUUCUUGUAAUUUUCCUGUUAAAUUGUAGCUCUGACUUGGAAUUUCUCACCAAGUAUUUGUGCAGAGUUAAUUCCUCCUGCUGCUUUACCUUCAAUCCUUUACCUUCAGCAUGCUCACCUCAAGGCACUCAGGCAGCCCCUGGUUCUGUGCUCUGUGUUUGGCUGGUCAGCGUUCUCCUGCCAGGUGGUCCCCUCCUGCAGUUAAUUACCUGCCUGGGUUAAAGUUGUAAGGGCAGGACAAGAGCUGAGGCAGAGCUUGUUGGGACCCUGACAGAGAGGGAGAAGCAGCAAAUGGAGUUGGAAAAGUAUUGUCCUUUCUGUACCUGAGAAGCUGGACAAGACCAUGAAAUCAGACCUGUGGUCUUGUUGUGGAGUCCACGGUCCAAGGGAACUCCUGGAUUGCUCCUGAAGCCCUGGCCAGGCUUGGGGCCCGAUCCACGAGGAAGCCGAGCCUGGCUGUUGCCGCACUGGACGUUGUGUCAGCCUGUUGCUGGCACCCAUUUGUCCGAGCUGGGCCCUGUCCCAGCAGAGCUGUAAGUCUCUUUGCCUGCAGGUGGAUGCGCCAGUGGCAAGUCCCAGUUGUGGGAGAGGCUCUCCAGUGCUUGGCUGGGACAGGGGGUUCCCAGCUCACGGGCUGUGGCUCUGGAGGAUGGUGAAGUCUCAGGGUCCCUGGUGCUGCGUCUCAGUCCCUGUAGUGCUGCUCUCUUUGGUAGCAGUGGUGAGGGGCAUUGCAGGGCUUUGUUGUUUGGAGUUCUUUGCUGCUUUGAGCUCUGGUGGAUGAGGCUGGAUUCCUGAAGCUGGUGUCUGUGUCUUUGGUGCUGCCCCUGGCCAAACACUUCUACUGUCCAGUACACAUCCUGGGAGCUGUGCUGCAUGGAAUAUUUUCAGGAAUUUGAUCCUGUGAGUUUUAGAUGAAAACAGUGCUUCUUUUUGAAUCUUGUAGGAAAGCAAGACCGGAACGUGGCGACUCGGAGGAGUUUUCCCACAGCUGUUUGCGUCUGUGCUGUCCUGUCUUUGUUCUUCCUGCACUGUUGGAGGCGGGACUCAUUUAUUUGGAUUUUUCUUUUCCAUCCCUGGGGACACAGGUGCUUUAGGCUCAGCCUGAAGGAGAUUCCCAAUGGAGUUUGUGAUAGCUGCUGUUGAUUUUUUUCCCAGAGCUGUUUUAUUUAACUUUGCUUUCACGCAAUAAACAGUUGAAAAUUAGCUUCUUACAGGAAUUGGCAAGAGAAUUAAGCAGCGUUACCCUUCUUAUACUGCUGAGCUUGAUUCUGCUCCAAGUCCUGCAGUACCUGAGGACCCCAAGGUGUUCAGCUCCUGCUCAGAAAGUGAACUUAACCUUGUCUUCUCCAAGUCACCGACAAGCACGUGACAAAGAAGGGGACCCAGAAGUUCUCGGGGCCCUGGCAGCGAGAGCAGCAGCAAAUGGUGUUGGAGAGUUUCUGUGAGCCCCUGUUUGGUGUUCCAGGUGCUGCAAGUCUUUGGCCCAACUGCUGGGAGACACUGGACCCUUGAUGAGCAUUGACUGCGCUUGUGGAGGGCCUGGCCACGUGGGCAUUCCUGGGAGGAGGAGUGCCCUGGAGUGAGUGCAGUGACCCCUAAAGUUGGAGAGGUGCUUGGGAUGACACAGGGAGGAGACUUUGGAGAAAACGUUUUCCAGACUCACACUUGUGUUGAAAGCUCUGUGGCAGUGCUGAGUGUUGCAGAGUGGCUUGAAGGGUUUGUGAGAGCCGACCAGGGAAUGGAGGAAUCGGCUCCAGCGGGGUCCUUGGCAAAUGCCGGACAAGAACUGACACAGAAUUUCUUGGGACCCUGGCAGAGAGAAAGAGAGAAGCAGCAAAUGGUGUUGGGAGAGUUUCUAUGGAAAAUGGAGUUGCUGAGCUAAGUUUUAACAGUAAGAAAGCAGCAAGUUCUCUAGGGUUUGACAGUCUGGAAGUACUGGAUGGGUCCUAUUUAUAUAUUGUGGCAUCAGUGUUGAAGUCUAUGGAAUGCUGCCAUGUAACCCACCUGGGUGCUUGGCACAUCCUAGGUUUUUUCUAUCUCUUGUCACAUCAGAAUACCCUGGCAUCCUCAGGUCCAGAGGGACUUUGAGAAAAAGGAUUCCCAGUGAGACAAGCAAGUUCCACAGCUCCUCUAUGGAUGUGCACUAUGGCUGAGGAGGGACGGGUAUGGAAGAAGGAGGAAAACAGCCCAGCCUUUCACAAGCUUUUCACAGUCUGCACUGGGGCUGGAGGCGCUUCCCUGCUCUCCUUUGCAUGGAUUUUAUCCGCUCCCCUCCUCUCCCCCAGGUCAAAGUUCCCAGCACAUGGGGGCUGUUUGGCUCCCCCCGGCCUCAGCCCUCUGGCACAGGAGCAGUCUCCCUCUGUGGGUGCAAGAACACGUCCUGCACUUUCUGCAGUGUCCUUCUCUUGCCCCCUUGGAGCCGUUAGACCACGCUGCCGUGCGGAGCACAGGGAGAGUUUGGCGUGGUCGUGGCCAUGCCCGGUCCUGGCUGUGUUCUUGAGGAACCGUCUCUGCCACAAAGUCAGGGUGCUUCUGACGGUGUCCCCACCCUGGCUGUGGCCGCCUGAGCGUGCAGGUGCUGCCCUGAGAGGGCUCUGCCAGGGGUGCUGAGCCUGGGCUGGGUGGAGGCUCAUUGAAUCCGUGGACCCACCACGUGCCUCCCCAGGCCACGGCCCUGCGCUGUCCCCACCCCUGCCACGCACAAGGCAGCCAGCAAGGCCCUGCCCUCCUUUCACCCUGACUACUGCUCUCUGACCUUUUGCUUUGCCCUUAAUGUCUCACCCUGAACACUGACUUUCAAAGCUGAUAUUGGCAGUAACAGGCAGCCAGUUCAGUUCUGUGUUUAGGUGUAGUACAGAAACAGGAUCUUUCUCUUGUGCUGACGGGGCAGCGAUUGGAGGGUGUGGUAAAGAGACUGGAAUGCAAAGAGAAUUAAAAACAUGAAGAUGGGGCUUAGUUUUGUGGCCAGAGCUCUACUCUGCAGAACCACAUUUCCUGAACUUGGCAAUGCCACGCACCUGCCACGAGUACACACCAAGCGUGAACCACAGCCCCUGUGCAGGCCAAGCACCUGCACAGGUUGCACACGCUGA